AGAGUUUGAUCAUGGCUCAGAUUGAACGCUGGCGGCAGGCUUAACACAUGCAAGUCGAACGGUAACAGGAAGAAAGCUUGCUUUCUUUGCUGACGAGUGGCGGACGGGUGAGUAAUGCUUGGGAAUCUGGCUUAUGGAGGGGGAUAACUACGGGAAACUGUAGCUAAUACCGCGUAGUAUCGGAAGAUGAAAGUGUGGGACCGCAAGGCCACAUGCCAUGAGAUGAGCCCAAGUGGGAUUAGGUAGUUGGUUAGGUAAAGGCUGACCAAGCCGACGAUCUCUAGCUGGUCUGAGAGGAUGACCAGCCACACUGGAACUGAGACACGGUCCAGACUCCUACGGGAGGCAGCAGUGGGGAAUAUUGCACAAUGGGGGGAACCCUGAUGCAGCCAUGCCGCGUGAAUGAAGAAGGCCUUCGGGUUGUAAAGUUCUUUCGGUGAUGAGGAAGGUGUUUGUUUUAAUAGAACAAACAAUUGACGUUAGUCACAGAAGAAGCACCGGCUAACUCCGUGCCAGCAGCCGCGGUAAUACGGAGGGUGCGAGCGUUAAUCGGAAUAACUGGGCGUAAAGGGCACGCAGGCGGUGACUUAAGUGAGAUGUGAAAGCCCCGAGCUUAACUUGGGAAUUGCAUUUCAUACUGGGUCGCUAGAGUACUUUAGGGAGGGGUAGAAUUCCACGUGUAGCGGUGAAAUGCGUAGAGAUGUGGAGGAAUACCGAAGGCGAAGGCAGCCCCUUGGGAAUGUACUGACGCUCAUGUGCGAAAGCGUGGGGAGCAAACAGGAUUAGAUACCCUGGUAGUCCACGCUGUAAACGCUGUCGAUUUGGGGAUUGGGCUUUGAGCUUGGUGCCCGUAGCU
rnacentral:rRNA from 1 species